GAUGAACGCUGGCGGCGUGCUUAACACAUGCAAGUCGAACGAUGAAGCCCAGCUUGCUGGGUGGAUUAGUGGCGAACGGGUGAGUAACACGUGAGUAACCUGCCCUUAACUCUGGGAUAAGCCUGGGAAACUGGGUCUAAUACCGGAUAGGAGCGCCUACCGCAUGGUGGGUGUUGGAAAGAUUUAUCGGUUUUGGAUGGACUCGCGGCCUAUCAGCUUGUUGGUGAGGUAAUGGCUCACCAAGGCGACGACGGGUAGCCGGCCUGAGAGGGUGACCGGCCACACUGGGACUGAGACACGGCCCAGACUCCUACGGGAGGGAGCAGUGGGGAAUAUUGCACAAUGGGCGAAAGCCUGAUGCAGCGACGCCGCGUGAGGGAUGACGGCCUUCGGGUUGUAAACCUCUUUCAGUAGGGAAGAAGCGAAAGUGACGGUACCUGCAGAAGAAGCACCGGCUAACUACGUG
rnacentral:rRNA from 1 species